rnacentral:rRNA from 1 species
AUUGAACGCUGGCGGCAGGCUUAACACAUGCAAGUCGAGCGGGGGAGGUUGCUUCGGUAACUGACCUAGCGGCGGACGGGUGAGUAAUGCUUAGGAAUCUGCCUAUUAGUGGGGGACAACAUCUCGAAAGGGAUGCUAAUACCGCAUACGUCCUACGGGAGAAAGCAGGGGACCUUCGGGCCUCGUGCUAAUAGAUGAGCCUAAGUCGGAUUAGCUAGUUGGUGGGGUAAAGGCCUACCAAGGCGACGAUCUGUAGCGGGUCUGAGAGGAUGAUCCGCCACACUGGGACUGAGACACGGCCCAGACUCCUACGGGAGGCAGCAGUGGGGAAUAUUGGACAAUGGGGGGAACCCUGAUCCAGCCAUGCCGCGUGUGUGAAGAAGGCCUUUUGGUUGUAAAGCACUUUAAGCGAGGAGGAGGCUACUGGUAUUAAUACUACCGGAUAGUGGACGUUACUCGCAGAAUAAGCACCGGCUAACUCUGUGCCAGCCGCCGCGGUAACAC